GGGCAACUUCACCGGUGGUCUAUUUUUUGUUCCAAAUAUAUUCCAAAAAUGGACCUGUCAAAAUUAAUUAGACCAGUGAAAAUAGACCAAAUCGCCUGCGUGCGCACCGGUUGUUCUAUUUAUUUAGUUUUCGCGAUCCAUUUGAAAUGUAAACAACGAAAACAAUCAAAAUUAGUAAAUUUUGUGUUUUAACGCGGAAUUGUGAAAUAAUUUUCGAAAAAUAUAGUGCUUCAGACCUUUAUCACGUUUUGUGGACCCGGGAAAAGCUUAAUUCAUCCGGUGCUAGGCUCACAACAUGUCUUCCCAGAAGUUGGCCUUCCAGUAGACGUAAUAUUUUGGCGAGAAGGAUGUCAUUCUCAAGGUGCUGGAGAAACACGGCGGGAUUUGCGAUUGCCACCGCUAGGUCGUCACGUUCGUAUAUGUUGCCAGCGCUUAUAGCCAUGAACUGGAAUCAAUAUCACGGAUACUGCCGAUGUCGUGAUGUGGCCGGAAUUGGUCAUCCAGGAAGUGGACAUGUCAAGCGGUAAAAAUCGAGCUGUAAUAGGUGGGAAGGCGCCCGGAGCAGGAAUCGAUUCCAAUUGACAUGAUCCAUGAGACAACAUUUGGGACUGCCGAAGUUUCGGUGCAAAUGAAAAAAAAAUAUUUCGUGGAAGAAUCCGACACAUGGGAAAUGGAAAAGGUGGCUGCCAAAGAACCGAGUGGAGUAGACACUAUGAUCGCUCAGUUUCCAACGUUGGCCCAUAUUGAGGGAUGCUCCCACCACGUUGUUUCAUCGAUUUCGUUAGCUUGGUUACCUCGAAUGAAGUCUAGAACAGACCUAAUUUUAGCGACUACAAUAAAAUAGAUUCUGAAGUCGAACUUUUCUAUCAUGGAUCGGUAUGAUGAAAUAGUUGACAGUGCAAUAGCAUUCUCUCCUUUCCUAAUGGACAAUGAAGACGAUGACGUGAUGAUCAAUUUACUGAUGGAAAAUUCAGAAAACUCACCUGUACGGCGCGGGUCACGGCCAGGAAGGCGUCCAAACAUCGAUCGUAACUUUAAAUUAGGACAUCGCCUGUUAUUUGAUGACUACUUUCGCGAAAAUCCAACGUACGAUGAGAAACACUUUAUUCGACGAUUCCGCAUGACGAAAGUUAUGUUUUUA